UAAGUUAUUAAGGGCGCACGGUGGAUGCCUUGGCACUAGAAGCCGAUGAAGGACGUUACUAACGACGAUAUGCUUUGGGGAGCUGUAAGUAAGCUUUGAUCCAGAGAUUUCCGAAUGGGGAAACCCAGCAUGAGUUAUGUCAUGUUAUCGAUAUGUGAAUACAUAGCAUAUCAGAAGGCACACCCGGAGAACUGAUACAUCUUAGUACCCGGAGGAAGAGAAAGAAAAUUCGAUUCCCUUAGUAGCGGCGAGCGAAACGGGAAGAGCCCAAACCAACAAGCUUGCUUGUUGGGGUUGUAGGACACUCUAUACGGAGUUACAAAGGACGACAUUAGACGAAUCAUCUGGAAAGAUGAAUCAAAGAAGGUAAUAAUCCUGUAGUCGAAAAUGUUGUCUCUCUUGAGUGGAUCCUGAGUACGACGGAGCACGUGAAAUUCCGUCGGAAUCUGGGAGGACCAUCUCCUAAGGCUAAAUACUCUCUAGUGACCGAUAGUGAACCAGUACCGUGAGGGAAAGGUGAAAAGCACCCCGGAAGGGGAGUGAAAUAGAACCUGAAACCGUGUGCUACAAGUAGUCAGAGCCCAUUAAUGGGUGAUGGCGUGCCUUUUGUAGAAUGAACCGGCGAGUUACGAUUUGAUGCAAGGUUAAGCAGUAAAUGUGGAGCCGUAGCGAAAGCGAGUCUGAAUAGGGCGUUUAGUAUUUGGUCGUAGACCCGAAACCAGGUGAUCUACCCUUGGCCAGGUUGAAGUUCAGGUAACACUGAAUGGAGGACCGAACCGACUUACGUUGAAAAGUGAGCGGAUGAACUGAGGGUAGCGGAGAAAUUCCAAUCGAACCUGGAGAUAGCUGGUUCUCUCCGAAAUAGCUUUAGGGCUAGCCUCAAGUGAUGAUUAUUGGAGGUAGAGCACUGUUUGGACGAGGGGCCCCUCUCGGGUUACCGAAUUCAGACAAACUCCGAAUGCCAAUUAAUUUAACUUGGGAGUCAGAACAUGGGUGAUAAGGUCCGUGUUCGAAAGGGAAACAGCCCAGACCACCAGCUAAGGUCCCAAAAUAUAUGUUAAGUGGAAAAGGAUGUGGCGUUGCCCAGACAACUAGGAUGUUGGCUUAGAAGCAGCCAUCAUUUAAAGAGUGCGUAAUAGCUCACUAGUCGAGUGACACUGCGCCGAAAAUGUACCGGGGCUAAACAUAUUACCGAAGCUGUGGAUUGUCCUUUGGACAAUGGUAGGAGAGCGUUCUAAGGGCGUUGAAGCAUGAUCGUAAGGACAUGUGGAGCGCUUAGAAGUGAGAAUGCCGGUGUGAGUAGCGAAAGACGGGUGAGAAUCCCGUCCACCGAUUGACUAAGGUUUCCAGAGGAAGGCUCGUCCGCUCUGGGUUAGUCGGGUCCAAAGCUGAGGCCGACAGGCGUAGGCGAUGGAUAACAGGUUGAUAUUCCUGUACCACCUAUAAUCGUUUUAAUCGAUGGGGGGACGCAGUAGGAUAGGCGAAGCGUGCGAUUGGAUUGCACGUCUAAGCAGUAAGGCUGAGUAUUAGGCAAAUCCGGUACUCGUUAAGGCUGAGCUGUGAUGGGGAGAAGACAUUGAGUCUUCGAGUCGUUGAUUUCACACUGCCGAGAAAAGCCUCUAGAUAGAAAAUAGGUGCCCGUACCGCAAACCGACACAGGUAGUCAAGAUGAGAAUUCUAAGGUGAGCGAGCGAACUCUCGUUAAGGAACUCGGCAAAAUGACCCCGUAACUUCGGGAGAAGGGGUGCUCUUUAGGGUUAACGCCCAGAAGAGCCGCAGUGAAUAGGCCCAAGCGACUGUUUAUCAAAAACACAGGUCUCUGCUAAACCGUAAGGUGAUGUAUAGGGGCUGACGCCUGCCCGGUGCUGGAAGGUUAAGAGGAGUGGUUAGCUUCUGCGAAGCUACGAAUCGAAGCCCCAGUAAACGGCGGCCGUAACUAUAACGGUCCUAAGGUAGCGAAAUUCCUUGUCGGGUAAGUUCCGACCCGCACGAAAGGCGUAACGAUUUGGGCACUGUCUCAACGAGAGACUCGGUGAAAUCAUAGUACCUGUGAAGAUGCAGGUUACCCGCGACAGGACGGAAAGACCCCGUGGAGCUUUACUGUAGCCUGAUAUUGAAAUUCGGCACAGCUUGUACAGGAUAGGUAGGAGCCUUUGAAACGUGAGCGCUAGCUUACGUGGAGGCGCUGGUGGGAUACCACCCUAGCUGUGUUGGCUUUCUAACCCGCACCACUUAUCGUGGUGGGAGACAGUGUCAGGCGGGCAGUUUGACUGGGGCGGUCGCCUCCUAAAAGGUAACGGAGGCGCUCAAAGGUUCCCUCAGAAUGGUUGGAAAUCAUUCAUAGAGUGUAAAGGCAUAAGGGAGCUUGACUGCGAGACCUACAAGUCGAGCAGGGUCGAAAGACGGACUUAGUGAUCCGGUGGUUCCGCAUGGAAGGGCCAUCGCUCAACGGAUAAAAGCUACCCCGGGGAUAACAGGCUUAUCUCCCCCAAGAGUUCACAUCGACGGGGAGGUUUGGCACCUCGAUGUCGGCUCAUCGCAUCCUGGGGCUGUAGUCGGUCCCAAGGGUUGGGCUGUUCGCCAAUUAAAGCGGUACGCGAGCUGGGUUCAGAACGUCGUGAGACAGUUCGGUCCCUAUCCGUCGUGGGCGUAGGAAAUUUGAGAGGAGCUGUCCUUAGUACGAGAGGACCGGGAUGGACAUACCUCUGGUGUACCAGUUGUCGUGCCAACGGCAUAGCUGGGUAGCUAUGUGUGGACGGGAUAAGUGCUGAAAGCAUCUAAGCAUGAAGCCCCCCUCAAGAUGAGAUUUCCCAACUUCGGUUAUAAGAUCCCUCAAAGAUGAUGAGGUUAAUAGGUUCGAGGUGGAAGCAUGGUGACAUGUGGAGCUGACGAAUACUAAUCGAUCGAAGACUUAAUCA
rnacentral:rRNA from 1 species